rnacentral:rRNA from 1 species
CCUACGGGAGGCAGCAGUGGGGAAUUUUGGACAAUGGGGGCAACCCUGAUCCAGCCAUUCCGCGUGAGUGAAGAAGGCCUUCGGGUUGUAAAGCUCUUUUGUUCGGGACGAAACGGUUUUGGUUAAUAACCAGGACUACUGACGGUACCGGAAGAAUAAGCACCGGCUAACUACGUGCCAGCAGCCGCGGUAAUACGUAGGGUGCGAGCGUUAAUCGGAAUUACUGGGCGUAAAGCGUGCGCAGGCGGUUUUAUAAGCCAGAUGUGAAAGCCCCGGGCUCAACCUGGGAAUGGCAGUUGGGACUGUAAGGCUGGAGUAUGGCAGAGGAGACUAGAAUUCCUGGUGUAGCAGUGAAAUGCGUAGAUAUCAGGAGGAAUACCGAUGGCGAAGGCAGGUCUCUGGGCCAAUACUGACGCUCAUGCACGAAAGCGUGGGGAGCAAACAGGAUUAGAUACCCUGGUAGUC